CUCCUCUGCCCUUUAUUCACGUGGGGGGGCAUCCCCCAACGCCCCGUUAUCACAAAAUAAACCUUAAUCCCAAAAAUAAAGGGUGCCCCCCACCCCCACCCCAUGGGAACAGUGCUGUCUGCAAUGGGGGGCGCACAGAAUGGGUCCCCAGAGGGGGUCCCCAGCUUUGGGAUGUGACGCCAUGGUGGGGAUGUGGGGGCACUCCCACCUCUGGGACAGACCCCAACUUUGGGCUGUGACACUGUCGGGGCGUCCCCAACUUUGGGGUCUGACACCAUCGGGGAAACACAGAGCUGUCCCAACUUUGAGAUGUGACACUGUCGGGGUGUCCCCAACUUUGGGGUGUGACACUGUGGAGUGUCCCCAGCUUUGGGGUCGGACACCAUUGGGGUGACACAGAGGUGUCCCCAACUUUGGGGUGUGACACUGUGGGGGCAUCCCCACCUUUGGGGUGUGACACGGUGACGCGGUGCCCCCACUUCCCCUGGGAAGUCCUCAAGCUGCUCACGGUGUCCCCAACUUCGACGCAAUGCCCCCAGGGGGGUCCUUUUGUCCCCUCUGCGUGACGGUGACACCCAAUGACAACGCCGCCGCGUCACGGCUGUUCCACACUGAUGUCACCCGUGGUCCCCUCUGCUGGUGGCACAGAGUUCACCUCCCGUCCUCGGGACAGAGGAUGGUGACAGCGCCAGAGGGAGGGCUCCGGUGUCACCGGGACCGGCUGCAGGCAGGCCUGG
ensembl:lncRNA